ensembl:ncRNA lncRNA:CR43966 long non-coding RNA:CR43966
AGUUUUUAUGCAAAUCAAAUUACAGCCAGCAAAAACCACAAACCAAGGACGGUAGAUAACAAUGAUGUCCGUUGGCCUGGAUUUUUCAUCGAACAGCGCCAAGCCGAAAUGUACACGAGUAUGACAGCGGAAAACUGUUUUUCCGCCUUUAAUGGGAAUUCACUUGAACGAAAUAGUAUUUAGCAUGCGAUGCAUUUAUCGAUGCGUUGCGUAUCGGACUUAACGAAAUUUAUGUGACUUUUGCAAUUUGUCCGGCAUCAAUCUCUUGAUUUCUUAUUUCUGGGAAAACUUUCAAAUUAGCUGCUCGGCAAU